rnacentral:lncRNA from 1 species
UAGACCUCCAUCCAGAUAUAAUUUUGAGGCCAGCGGUUACGUUAAAAUUGUUUACAAGUUACAACUGUUUUGAAAAUAAAGCUAAAGCAAAAGGUAAGAUUUAUUUCCUUUCUAGCGAUUAAUGUUUGCUUAGUUUUUAUUAUUGGAUAAUUAUUUAAUUAAAAAAAUACACAGAGAAUGGUUAAAUUCGAACGUUAUUUUGAAGUACUGUUUUAUAUUAGUAUAUUUGCAAGAUAGUUGUUGGCAUUGCAGGAAUUACGAAAAACCGGUACUGUUUUCGAAAAACCAAACAUAAUGAACACCACUGCGAGGGAAAACAUGUGUGAUAUUGCACCUCGUUUCUUUCCGACACGCAGGAAUGAAAAAUAUAGGCCUUUAGAAUAUAGACUUCAAUUGACUUCAAGAUUUCAACAAGACCAUGCAGGUGUCUUGCAAUUAUCAAAAAGUGUUUUUUUGCACGUCUUUUAUUAACUCAUCGAUUCCCACCUGGGAAUUAACUCUUUUGCAUCUUGUUUUUCAAACAAGUCCUUUGGGAAUUCAGAAUACAUAUUAAACCAUAGAAAAACAUUUAAAUCGUGUCUAAAUUAGAUGCAAAACAUACUUUGUCUUUGAGUUAGCUAGUACAAUUUGCAAUCACUGAACACUUCGAUUCUACACGAGUUGUGCAAUGUCUAGUGUGUUUGCAAACGUAACUCUUUAAUAAUCUAAGUUAUUGGCUAUGCUUUUCCUUUAGAUUUGAAUACAAACGAGCUGUGUUAACAACAAGCAGUGCUAAACGACUUAACGUCUUGACUAUUAAACAAGAUAACACGAGGUCGAAUUUAUAUACUCACAUUAUUCUUAUACGAAAAUUAACAAACAACAGAUUACCAUACGCUAACUUUGCCAAAGGAAAAGGUGGACGGCAAGCUAACCUGCAUUCCUACAUCGAUCUUCGCUGUACGAAUAAUUCGAACAAAUUAAGAUAUAUAAAUUCAUCAAUAAUAUGGCUGCAAAAUGCUUGCAUCUCGGCUUUCUUGGUAUGAUCUGUGUAAGGUAUGCGUUCCACUUCUUGUUUAAAAGUAUGUCUACUUUAUUAUUUUAUAAGUUUAGUUACAUGAAUGUUAUUUUGUCGGGAUGGGAAGCAGGCAUGGCGAGAGUAUUUUGAAGCACUGAAAUAAGUCGAUAUAGGUGUAAAGGAACAAACGACGUCGACUUUAGGACCUCGACUCAGUCGGCUAGCUUUUGCAGGUUUGAUCCAUUUUGGGCUCUGGCUCGCUCGAGUAAAUAUUUUCGCUCGAAUAAACGGCCCUAUAUAGGCUAUACAGCCUACAGGAUGUUCCAAAUAAAACCCGGAAACCAUUCUAAAUUAAAUAUGUAUUCAUUGCAGUGAUCAACUGAUUAUAACACAGUAGUUUGGUGACCUUGAACAUCUCUCAGAUUUGAACCUGCUGAGACACACUGAUUUUGGUCGCCAAGUCUUUCAUCGUCGGCGUUGCCGGAGAGGAACCGAGUUUUAAUGUACCCUGUUGACUAGUGCAAGCAACAAAUUGAUGAAAAUAGACUAAGUGUUAAUCCGGUUUUAAUACAGACGAGCAAAUUUUCUAUGACAAGUUUCUA